AGCGGAAGUGGGUCUCCGUGAGGCGGUGGAGUCCUGCCUGAGCGGGUCUCCUUAGCGGCUGGUGGCGGUGGUACGUCCUUGCUCGAGCGCUUCGACUGUGGCGUCUGCCUGAUCGCACCAACUCCAGGACUUGGAAAUAUUGGACAUCUAAUUGACUCCAGAUUGUAAGCCACAGAUGAGUACUCGGCGGGCGUGAGAGAUUGAGAACAUUCCACCUCCCCAUAAACCUUGGUGUAUAUCACUUGAUUUUCUGUGGAUUGAAGCCAGAGAGCACAAUGAGUACAAGAAAUCCUCAAAGAAAGCGGCGUGGUGGAACAGUAAGUUCUAGGCAAGCCCAGAAGCGAACUCGGGAAACAACUUCAACCCCUGAGAUUUCCUUGGAAACAGAACCCAUAGAACUCGUGGAAACUGCUGGUGAUGAAAUUGUGGACCUCACCUGUGAAUCCCUGGAGCCUGUGGUUGUGGACCUCACUCACAAUGACUCUGUUGUGGUAAGCAUUUGAGUAAGAGUUGGCUGGCUUGGGUAGGAAUCCCUGGCCCAUAUCUGCAUCUAAAGUCUGGGUUACUAACCAGGGUUAGAAAGAUUGAAAGGGGCUAGAGAGAUGGCUCAGAGGUUAAGGGCACUGGCUGCUUUUCCAGGGGACCUGUACCUACAUGGUAGCUCACAGCCAGCUGUAACUCCAGUUCCAAGAUACCAGUGCCCUCUUCUGGGCUCUGUUGGCAUCAGAUACACUGCAUGCAAACCACACAUACACAUCAAAUAAUUGUGAAGGGAAAGGAACCUAUAUUGAGUAACUGGAACCCCUAAUGAGAAAUGUGUCAGGAAGAGCCACCUGUUGUCGCUUUUGUCUCCUGUGGACUAUAUCUGCCUGAUUUUUGACCUUUCCAUAGCAGCAGUCCUGAUUUCAUAGUUUCAGAUGUGUAAGCUGGGCAUAGCCCUUUGAAAUGGGAUACUAGCUUUGCCAGGGUUGGUACUACAUUGUAUUAAGAGACACCUAUUUAGGUGCCUUGCCUUGCAUGAAGUGUAGUGCUUUGCAGUGCUUUACACCUCUGACCUGAAGGGAAUUGGGAAUAUUGACUGUGCUGCCAUUAGGUUUCCGAAAUAGUUGCCAGUAAACAUGGCUCCAGGGAAAGCAGCUAUCUAGUCUGCACCUGCUGCCACAGCUCUUUCCUGACUCCAGGGAGGGUAGAACUUGAGAGGCUGUGACUUCAUGUGUAGCCUGCCAGAACUAAAACCUAGUCUGGUCAGGAGUAUUAGAAAGUAAUUCUGAAAGACAUAUUCCAUGGUAUUGGAACACCCCUACACACACAUACACCCCAUUUCCAUGUGUCUUUUGGGAUCUGAUGAACUCAUUGAUGAGCAUCUUAAGGACAAGUUUGCUACUCACUUGUAAAACCUUUUGAUGACAGUAUGCCAGGACUGAAGCUGUGGAAUAGAGGUGUUGCCACCUUGGGUAGCAUUAGACAUGUGUUAGCAGUUGGAAUGCAGAAAGGACUGUAGACAUGGAACCGAGGUGUUAGUAAUCUAGUCUUCCACUUGUCUCAAAGGUUUGAAAUUCUGAGUGACUAGUAACAAGCUGCCACAACCAAGACAUAUCAGUGUUUUUUAAUUUGUUUAAAACUUUGAGAGUAAGAUUUUAUUGAGAAGCAAGACAAGCUGGGUAUGGCACACACCUUUAAUCCCAGCACUCCUGGAGGCAGAGGCAGGCUAAUCUUGUGAGUUCAAGGUCAGCCUGAUCUACAAAAAACAAAACAGUUCCAGAAUAGCUAGAGCUACACAACAACAAAAACAAGAUGAAGGGAUGGGUAACCAGGUAUUGUGGUGCAUGCCUGUGAUCUUUUUUGGUUUUUUUUUUGUUUUGUUUUUUUGUUUUUUUGUUUUUUCGAGACAGGGUUUCUCUGUGGUUUUGGAGCCUGUCCUGGAACUAGCUCUUGUAGACCAGGCUGGUCUCGAACUCACAGAGAUCCGCCUGUAUCUGCCUCCCAAAGCAUGCGCCACUACCGCCCGGCCCAUGCCUGUGAUCUUGAGCACUUGAAAGGCAGUGUUUCUGGGUUAUAUAGUUAAGCUUAGUCUCAAGGAGGGAAAAUGAAAUCAUGAUGGCAUGAAGCUGCCAGGGAAUAUCUACUCAGAGGCUUAAUAUUCCUUACAAAUGCUCAACUGAUAGCUCAGGCUUGUUACUAGCUCUUACACUUAACCCAUAUUUCUGUUUAUGCUUUACCUCAUUUUCUACAUGUCCUGCUUGCCCCCUGGCUGACUGGCAUCUCCAGCUCCACCCUUCUUCCUCCGGCUUUCUAGUUUGGCUCUCCUAACUUAAUCCUGCUCAGCUAUUAGCCAGUCAGCUUGUUUAUUAAACCAAUCACAGUGGCAAAUCUUGACAGUCUACAAAGGGAUUUUCCCACAGCAGUAUGGUUUUAGUUAGAAAUCACCAGAUUGUCCUGAUGUCAUCUCUGGUAUCCUCUCAAAGACUAUGGUGAAUUCAGGCACAUUGCCUCCCGUAUAACCAAUGGUGUUUCUGGAAAUGGGCCAGAACUGUUUGAGAAUUGUAAGUGGUCUCCUCUGCAUAAGUUGACUCUUGCUGUUAAUUCCUGUCAAUUUCAUGGAGUUCUAUAAAGAGGGUAAUUUAGUCCCUUAGCUAAAGUUACAUUCCAGUUUUUGACUAAUUCUGGAAAUUGGCACCAAAUGCUUUUUCUUCCUCUUUCCCCUAUCUCAAAGUAAUAGGAAUAGUUUAUUGAGGGAAAGCAUUCCUGAGGAAGGAAGUGGGUUAGCAAACAGGGAAAGGGCUCAGAAAGCCCCAAAUCCCUUUUCUUUAUUUUUUUAUUUUGGUUUUUCGGGAUAGGGUUUCUCUGUAGCUUUGGAGCCUGUCCUGGAAUUAGCUCUUUUUUUUGGUUUUGGUUUUUCGAGGCAGGAAAUUAGCUCUUAUAGACCAGGCUGGCCUCAAACUCACAGAAAUCCUCCUGCCUCUCCAAAUCCCUUUUUUUGAGAACUCAACAUCUACCCAUAAUGGACAUGACCAGGUCCUGACAAAGGAGCUGGAAGUCUGCCUCCAAGAAGACCCUGUUCUUCUGCUGGGUGGCAAGUCAAACCAUGCCUUUAUUCACGCGGCAGUGAGUAGAGUCCUUGAAUGAGCCUAGAAUAAGAAUCGUGGGAAUGAGGGAACUGUCCUGAUAGUGACUGAAUGAGCAGGAAUCCGUUAGAUAAAAGUCCAGUGAUAGUAUUGUGGAGACAGGAGGCUUGGGUUCUCGUGUCAGAAUUGCUAUUUGAAUUUUUGCUAUUACAGAAAUUACCUCAUGCUUGACCUAGCUAUUAAAAAGAAUUGUCUGAAUUUGGUAACUCCCAAUCACUCUCCAUGUGUUGUUGAUUGUAAUGAAUCAUCAAAGGCCAUUAAAUUAUUGGUAUUAACUAAAGACAUGAACAAGCAGUAUUUUUGAGAGUCAUACAAUAUUGAAAGCAAGAUGUGUGCAUUAUAGCAGUUAAAAGGUCAGAAUGUUUAUAACACUCCUCUCUCUUUCCCCCUUUUUCAGAUUGUUGAAGGUGAGUAGUUUCAUUUCCUUUUCUCCUGGGUUUAAAGGAAGUUAUGGUGAAUGAAUGCCAUAGCCCGCAGGCUUUGUCAGUCUGCCCUUCCAAGAUCUCUAGGCAGGAGGUUGCCUUUGGUCAAACCUGUUGGUUUUACUGAAAAUCUCUGCCCAUGAUUUCAGGGACUGAGCUUUCUCCUGAGAAGGCAAAUGAAUGGCCUCUGCCUCUGGGCAGGACCUUCUGAGGGUAUGGGGUAGAACUAGUAUGGUGAUGGUUU